UACAGAGGUCCCAAGCGUUGUUCGGAUUCACUGGGCGUAAAGGGUGCGUAGGCGGUCGGGUAAGUCUGACGUGAAAUCUUCAAGCUCAACUUGGAAACUGCGUCCGAUACUAUUCGGCUAGAGGAAUGGAGGGGAGACUGGAAUACUUGGUGUAGCAGUGAAAUGCGUAGAUAUCAAGGGGAACACCAGUGGCGAAGGCGAGUCUCUGGACAUUUCCUGACGCUGAGGCACGAAAGCCAGGGGAGCAAACGGG
rnacentral:rRNA from 1 species